UACGUAGGGGGCGAGCGUUGUCCGGAAUCAUUGGGCGUAAAGAGCGUGUAGGCGGCUUGGCAAGUCUGACGUGAAAGCCCGCGGCUCAACCGCGGAUUGUCGUUGGAAACUGCCUCGCUAGAGUCCGGAAGAGGGAGAGCGGAAUUCCUGGUGUAGCGGUGGAAUGCGCAGAUAUCAGGAAGAACACCCGUGGCGAAGGCGGCUCUCUGGGCCGAUACUGACGCUGAGGAGCGAAAGCGUGGGGAGCGAACAGG
rnacentral:rRNA from 1 species